AGAUGGGAUCAGCUUGAUGCAUGAAUAUGAGGAUCAAAAGUUUGGGGUAGAUGAGCAAAAGCUUGGAAUUAGCACGGAAUUGGCAUGAAUUUGAGUUAAGAGUAGGAGCAUCAAUAAUUGAAAACUGGAAAACAAAGCUCCAUUCCGCCAGUAAAUUCCAGCAGCUCAGCCCCCAGAUUGGAUCGGUAUUCCAUUGAAGAUGAAAUGUCAACUUCAUUAGUUGAUACAAGUUACAGCAGCAACUAUCCAGCCCAGGCAUAUUGACAUGAAUGGGGGUUUAUCACGGCAUCUCAGCAUGAUUGGAUGUUCUCUCCGUUUGACACCGAGAGGACUCUGCUUGUCUUUUGUGUAUAGUUUAAAUAGAAGUUUUGCUUCUUAAUCAAAGUCACAGCUUCUGAACAUUGUGAAUUUGAUAGGGAGGUUGCAAUUGGAAGAUGGAGUUUGCACGAGUCACAACCUAGUUCCAUAAGAGGAACAUGAAAAGAUGUAAUUAAUUUUUUUUAAUACCCAAAUCUUGGCUCUUUGGAGAAAAUAAACCACUCUUGUACUAAUAUAUUUUUCUGAUGUAUACCAAAGGUUCA